UACGUAGGUGGCAAGCGUUGUCCGGAAUUAUUGGGCGUAAAGCGCGCGCAGGUGGUUUCUUAAGUCUGAUGUGAAAGCCCACGGCUCAACCGUGGAGGGUCAUUGGAAACUGGGGAACUUGAGUGCAGAAGAGGAAAGUGGAAUUCCAAGUGUAGCGGUGAAAUGCGUAGAGAUUUGGAGGAACACCGGUGGCGAAGGCGGCAUCCUGGACCGAGUACUGACGCUGAGGAGCGAAAGCCAGGGGAGCAA
rnacentral:rRNA from 1 species